UACGGAGGGGGCAAGCGUUAUUCGGAAUUACUGGGCGUAAAGGGCGCGUAGGCGGCCGUUUGCGUCGGAUGUGAAAGCCCGGGGCUCAACCUCGGAACGGCAUUCGAUACGGGACGGCUGGAGACCGGGAGAGGAGAGUGGAAUAGCCAGUGUAGAGGUGAAAUUCGUAGAUAUUGGCUGGAACACCGGUGGCGAAAGCGGCUCUCUGGCCCGGUUCUGACGCUGAGGCGCGAAAGCGUGGGGAGCAAACAGG
rnacentral:rRNA from 1 species